UGCCCCAUGGCUGAGUUGGUUACAGCGUCCGACUGUUAAUCGGAAGGUCAUGAGUUCGAGCCUCAUUGGGGCAG
rnacentral:tRNA from 1 species